rnacentral:rRNA from 1 species
UACGUAGGAUGCAAGCGUUGUCCGGAAUUAUUGGGCGUAAAGAGCGCGCAGGCGGUUUGCCAAGUCAGAUGUGAAAGAGGCCGGCUUAACCGGCAAGGGUCAUUUGAAACUGACAGACUAGAGUGCAGCAGAGGAUAGCGGAAUUCCCGGUGUAGUGGUGAAAUGCGUAGAUAUCGGGAGGAACACCAGUGGCGAAGGCGGCUAUCUGGGCGGCAACUGACGCUGAGGCGCGAAGGCUAGGGUAGCAAACAGG